rnacentral:rRNA from 1 species
GGAAUAUUGGACAAUGGGCGCAAGCCUGAUCCAGCCAUGCCGCGUGAGUGAAGAAGGCCUUCGGGUUGUAAAGCUCUUUCGGCGGGGACGCAACGGUCCGUGCUAACACCACGGACUACUGACGGUACUCGCAGCAGAAGCACCGGCUAACUACGUGCCCGCAGCCGAGGUAAUAAGUAGGGUGCAGGCGUUAAUCGGAAUUACCGGGCGUAAAGCGUGCGCAGGCGGCUCCUUAAGUCAGAUGUGAAAGCCCCGGGCUUAACCUGGGAACUGCGUUUGAAACUGGGGAGCUAGAGUGUGGAAGAGGGGGGUGGAAUUCCAGGUGUAGCAGUGAAAUGCGUAGAGAUCUGGAGGAACACCGAUGGCGAAGGCAGCCCCCUGGGCUAACACUGACGCUCAUGCACGAAAGCGUGGGGAGCAAAC